CAGCCUACGGGGGGCAGCAGUGAGGAAUAUUGGUCAAUGGGCGGGAGCCUGAACCAGCCAAGUCGCGUGAGGGAAGACGGUCCUAUGGAUUGUAAACCUCUUUUGUCGGGGAGCAAAGAGGCCACGUGUGGUCAAAAGCGAGAGUACCCGAAGAAAAAGCAUCGGCUAACUCCGUGCCAGCAGCCGCGGUAAUACGGAGGAUGCGAGCGUUAUCCGGAUUUAUUGGGUUUAAAGGGUGCGUAGGCGGUCAGGUAAGUUAGAGGUGAAAGCUCGAUGCUCAACAUCGAAACUGCCUCUGAUACUGU
rnacentral:rRNA from 1 species